GACGUAGGGCGCGAGCGUUGUCCGGAAUUAUUGGGCGUAAAGAGCUCGUAGGCGGCUCAUUGCGUCAACCGUGAAAACCAGCAGCUCAACUGUUGGCUUGCGGUUGAUACGGGUGGGCUGGAGUUCGGGAGGGGAGACUGGAAUUCCUGGUGUAGCGGUGAAAUGCGCAGAUAUCAGGAGGAACACCGGUGGCGAAGGCGGCAUCCUGGACCGCGACUGACACUGAAAAGCGAAAGCCAGGGGAGCAAACGGG
rnacentral:rRNA from 1 species